CCUACGGGAGGCAGCAGUGAGGAAUAUUGGUCAAUGGGCGCGAGCCUGAACCAGCCAAGUAGCGUGAAGGAUGACUGCCCUACGGGUUGUAAACUUCUUUUAUAAAGGAAUAAAGUGAGGCACGUGUGCCGUUUUGUAUGUACUUUAUGAAUAAGGAUCGGCUAACUCCGUGCCAGCAGCCGCGGUAAUACGGAGGAUCCGAGCGUUAUCCGGAUUUAUUGGGUUUAAAGGGAGCGUAGAUGGGUUGGUAAGGCAGUGGGGAAAGUUUGCGGCUCAACCGUAAAAUUGCCAUUGAUACUGGCAGUCUUGCGUACAGUUGCGGUCGGCGGAAUUCGUGGUGUAGCGGU
rnacentral:rRNA from 1 species